rnacentral:tRNA from 1 species
AGAGUGUUAGUUAAAUAAUAAUACUAGUUUGUCAAACUAAAGUUACCAAUUGUACACCCUA